CCUACGGGAGGCAGCAGUGAGGAAUAUUGGUCAAUGGACGAGAGUCUGAACCAGCCAAGUAGCGUGAAGGAUGACUGCCCUAUGGGUUGUAAACUUCUUUUAUAAAGGAAUAAAACGAGGCACGUGUGCCUUUUUGCAUGUACUUUAUGAAUAAGGAUCGGCUAACUCCGUGCCAGCAGCCGCGGUAAUCCGGAGGAUCCGAGCGUUAUCCGGAUUUCUUGGGUUUAAAGGGAGCGUAGAUGGGUUGUUAAGUCAGUUGUGAAAGUUUGCGGCUCAACCGUAAAAUUGCAAUUGAUACUGGCAGUCUUGAGUACAGUUGAGGUAGGCGGAAUUCGUGGUGUAGCGGUGAAAUGCUUAGAUAUCACGAAGAACCCCGAUUGCGAAGGCAGCUUACUAAACUGUGACUGACAUUGAUGCUCGAAAGGGUGGGUAUCAAACAGGAUUAGAUACCCCAGUAGUC
rnacentral:rRNA from 1 species